UUCUUUCGUGGCGGGCCGCCACAAAUAAAUGAAUGUGUAGGAAACCCUGACUGUGACACUUAAGCAGAGAAUAUUCCACUCCCAAAACUAACCUUUUCCAAUAUGAUAAGGAGUUCAAACACACAUACAAAAAAAAUUACAAGUUCUUUUUAUGAGGAAGGUGAAGAUGAUGGAGUCACCAAUUGAACUGAACACAAUUGAGCACCUUUGUGUCAUCCUCAAGCAGAAUGAUGUGGGUGAUGUUGUCAUGUAGAUGAUUCCAGUAACAACCUGUGCAUCUCUGCUCAAUUUAAUGCCCAAGAGCAUUACGGCAGUGUAUGAUGCUCACAUUACAAAUGUACACUAAUGUGGACAUGUUCACUGUGAGAUGUACUCACUUGUGUUGCUAUUUAGACCUAUUUUUUGUUUUAAUUUUCUAAGUGACAUCCAAGUUGCAUUUCUAUGGUAUUGUUGAAAAGAUAUUGUUGUAAUGUGAAGGGUGUACCCAGGUUUGACUCCUUACAAAAAUAAAUCAAAGUACCUGUUGCUCCAGCGCUCUCUUCUCCUUUUCCAUGGUCGUUGGCACUCUGAGAGGGUCGUCUGUGCAUUUGGUUGUCCUGCAGGAUUACCUUGAGAGCGUCUAUCUGGCUCUCCUUGUUGCGCAACUCCAUGCGGUUCUCCCUCAGCUGCGUCUUCAGCUGGAAGAUCUCGCUCAACUUCUGGGUCACCUCAGCCUGAGAGUCCCGAAACUGCUGCUUGAGCAAGGAGAUCUCUCCUGACUUCUGGCAAACCUUGAAGGUUAGAAUGGAACAAUGUUGGAAUUCACUUCGCUCCCCUGUAAUUACGUCAAAGUGUGCGCUUCUCCCUGUCAUAACGUGUCUCGCAAGGCCACACCUCCCACUGUGUCUCCUCCAGGGUUGGACUGGUCGGCUUCCCUUUGUCCCCGAACUCGGGGAUUCUUUCCCCUUUCGCGCUAUCCAGCUCUUCUUGCAGUCGGUUCUUGUCCUGCUGGGCCUUGUAAAGCUGCAAUUGGAGGCCACGUUGGGCUCGCUGGGCAUGCUGGGAAACCUGGCGGAGCUUGGCAGCGUAGAGGCGCUUCAGUUCCUCCACCUCCUUCUCCCACAGACGCUGUUUGCCUUCAAAUACCUUCUCGCAGACCCACACACAUUCCGCUCAGGCUUUACACACGAUAUCUAGACUGAGCUAUGGAUGUGAGACUUACCUGAGCGACCGCGCCCUCGCUCUCGUCCAGAUUUCUUUUCAUCUGCUUCAGCUCGUGUUCUUUUUCCACCAGACGCUCCUCCAGAUCCCGCACCUUGGGAGAAGGUCAGGUAAUCAGCUCGAACAUAGUUCUACCUGCAUUGCACAGAUCUGGCCAGUACUCACCACUUCUUCAACAGACAUGGACAGAGUCCAAUCAUAAGGAGGUGGAGCCUCCCCUCCAUAUGGCACCAGGCGGCUGAGCGUGGCCAUACUGCGACAUGCCAUCUCCCCCAUGGCCACGCCCCCUGAGCCAGCAGCCAUGGCGCCCAAAGUGGUGCGGUCCAGCGAGCCGAUAGUGUUGAUAUGACCCAUUGAUGCGCUGAAGAGCACCAUAACAGUUCACAUAACGAUACAUUAUGAAUGCUAUUGGACAGAGCCAAGGCAAACCUGAUGUGAGCCAGGUGUGGGCGGAAAGGAGGACGGUAUGGCGGCAAACUGCUCAUGGAGUUAUGGCCCGAGUCCGACAGGUUGUCAUCCUCCUGGCUCGCCCCACGCGCUGAGGAAUGAGCCUACGCAGCAAUGCCAAUAAGAAAACAUGAAGACUGGAGGUUUUGUCAUUGCUUUGUUGAUUGCACAACUCUUUGUGUAUCUUUGAGUCGCUAUGGAAACGUUCUCCCUUCCCAAGAAUGCAAAUGCUGGAGUUCCGUUUGCUUCCGUUUGUUUUAUAGCACUCCAUGAACCAAAAGGUGACCAGUGGCAGAAGAGUCAGGAUAGGGAUGGCUGGCAAAAAGUAUUGACUUUUAACCACAAUUUUAAAAAUGCCAUUACAUUUUUUAACUUCUCCCACCAGUAUAGUGACUCUGAGCUGUCUGAAUGUGUUGCCCCAGGGUCGCAUGUUAAUGCGUGGAUCGUUUCCCUGAGAUGAAGACAGAAGUCCGGAGGCAGCGUGCAGUUAAUGGAAGAACUCUUGAAGAAGAGGUCAUCCCGCUUACCUCCCCUAAAUCCCAGGUCUCCUACACACAUCAUCAAACUUGACGGUUCCAAUAAAAGGCUAUUAGGCAGUAAAAAUCGUUCCACUCCACUUCCUAAAAGUUUGUCAAAUAGAUAGCUGGGAAUGAAGUUGACUCUCUACUUCCACGAACACUAUCUGUCUGAUGGGCGGUCCCAAAAGGGAGUUCUUUGCCAAGUCAAUUUCAGUGCCAUCUUUGUGGAAGACCCGAGCGUACAAGUUUUCUUCCUCUCGUCCUCCGACGGAGAUCACGACGUCCUUCUUGUUGACCUUAGCCUGGUUGGUUUUGGGCUCUUUUCUGUUUGGUGAACACAGCUGUGGUCACGUGACAACAAUAUUGGGACACGUUCCAUGGCGGCAUCUCGCACACACCUGGUGAUGUUGAGGUAGUUGAGUAGUUCUCUCUGAGCAAAGCCUUUCUUCAGGAGGCCGCCGGACUGCUUGGGCCUGACUUGGGGCACGGCUCGGUUCACCUUGGUGGGAGAGACAUCAGGCCUCUCCACCAGACUGCCGACACUCCCCAUGCUGCAGCGCUGCGAAAAGGACGGCGUCGGGAAGGCGAUUUUGAAGUUCUUGCCAGGACGAGGAAGAGUCUGGACUGAGGUUGCCAUUGGUCACACGGCUCACAGGGGCGGAAAGGUGCUCUGUGAAGACAAACAUAGCAGUUCCGUGGCACACACUUAUUCUCCCUCUGCACGUCAUCAAAGAAAUAGAUUUGUCUUCGGCAAUCCUCCCUUUCUUGCACAUGCAUUAUCCAAAGGGAGGUGAGGCGUGCAGUGGGCAGCAACAGUGUCGUACCUGGGAUGUAACCACCAAUUUCAACCCUUUAUGCUGAGGGCCAAACAGGGAGACCAGUUGAUGGCAAAGAGGAAAAACAAGUGGUUGUGGAAUGAGAAACCAAGGAGAGAGAAAAUCGUAUUACCAGAUAAGAGCAUAAUGAGAGAAGCUGCAAACACAUCUGGGUAGGGGGCCAAGCCUGGAAGCCCCAUGGCUGCGUAUUCUUCGAAAAAUUUGGACAUGACACCCCCGAGGAGGUCAUCAAAGGUCCCGCUCCAUGCGAGCGCAACGCUGGACGUCCCUGCAGAAAGUUGACAAAGGCAAUAAAUUGAAGGUGGGACUCUGGCAAACGUAGCAGCCCUGAGAGGGCAAUGAGUGACCCGCGGGAGGACAAAGCAGCAUUCAUGGCUGAUGCAUUGCUGCACAUUUUCUUCACAUGAGAAGUAGCUUUCACUUCCUCAUCCACUAACAGGGGGGAUUUCAGCCCACCUAAUCCCUCCUGGCAUCCACCUCGGCAGGGCAGGCGCGAGGCCCAGUGGAAAGCAGCCUGUGUGGACCAAUCAAGGCUACCUUUGACCAGAUCCAACACUUGGCCUUGUCAUGUGCUGAGAUAUGGUUUUUUUCACGGGAGA